GGGGAUAUAGCUCAGUGGUAUAAGCUCCUGCCUUGCAAGUGUGAGGUCAUGAGUUUGAUCCCCGAUAUCCCCC
rnacentral:tRNA from 1 species